CGUAUCAGAAUGACGCGGUGAAUACGUUCCCGGGCCUUGUACACACCGCCCGUCACACCAUGGGAGUGGGUUGCUCCAGAAGUGGAUAGUCUAACCUUCGGGAGGACGUUCACCACGGAGUGAUUCAUGACUGGGGUGAAGUCGUAACAAGGUAGCCCUAGGGGAACCUGGGGCUGGAUCACCUCCUUAUACGA
rnacentral:rRNA from 1 species